AUAAUGGAGAGUUUGAUCCUGGCUCAGGACGAACGCUGGCGGCGUGCCUAAUACAUGCAAGUCGAGCGGAGAAUGUGGAGCUUGCUCCACAUUCUUAGCGGCGGACGGGUGAGUAACACGUGGGCAACCUGCCCUGCAGAUCGGGAUAACUCCGGGAAACCGGUGCUAAUACCGAAUAGUUUGGGGCCUCUCCUGAGGCCC
rnacentral:rRNA from 1 species